UAGAGGAGGGUGAGGAAAAGCAUCUAAGAAGUUUGAUUCUAUGAGAUUCAGAGUUCUAAGCUGGAUCAAGACUUUUAUAAAUCCAAAUGGAUUAUUCUUAUAAGGCUGUGGUGUCCCCAUUCUUAACAAAGUGGUCUUUUAUAUAUGGGUGUGUACGUACUGUUGAAUCAUAAUCCUAAUAAGGGCUAAUUGUUUGAUUGAUUUGACCGUGCUAUGAUUCCUUUCAGUUUGGCUGGCAUCAACAAAAACACAGAGGAUUUACUUUCCAGGAAUUUUUCAUGUGCCUCCUCCUGGCACAGGAGCCUGUCCCAACACUGGACCCAUGGGAAAAACGAUGUUCAUUAAAAGGAAGAUGGGAGCAGACCCUGACCCAAUGGGACAAAGAAUGCUACUAUUAAUUUCAGCAAAGUAAAUACACAUUUCCCACAUGCUAAUUCAAGUAUACACACAUCUGAACUCAACCAUGGAAGCUGGUGGCAGACUGUUCAACCUUUGGGGUGAUGAUCUAUAGGACAUUGUUUGUAGGGUGAUUUGAUAAAUGUUGCAUGCAUUGAAAGGGAGCUGCCCACUUUGGAAAAACCUAACUCGAUAAAUUCAUCUUGGUUCUGAAUACAUGUUUUGAGCUCCUUUUUGUCUUGAACUGGACACUUUAGACUGUGUCCUUGAUGGAUCAGGAGGCACUGGAAUGGGGUAAGGGGAGAAAGAAUGUUUGCUGCUGGCCAGAUCUUCACAACAAGAUGAAGCUCAGGAGAUAUGAACUCUAAUUUUCCUCAUAUUACUUUUCAAUCUCUGAGGAAAGGAUUGGGAGGGCAUUCCAUGGUUAAUCUUUGUCUUUAUAAGGGACUAGGGGAUUCUGUCAUCAAUUAGGGAAGAUCAGUUUAAAAUGUCAAAACAUAAAGACUAUUGUAACUAGAGCACAUUGAAUACUUGUAUUUUUUUCUUAUAGUGGGAAUGUCUUUUUUUUUUCAAGAUUUUUUCGAGUUUAUUUAUCGAUUUUGAGAGAGUGGGGAGAGGCAGAGAGAGAGAAGGAGAAAGAGAGAGAGAAUCCCAAACAGGCUAUCAUUGUCAGCACAGAGCCUGACGUGGGGUUCAAAGUCAUGAAUGGUGAGAUCGUGACCUGAGCUGAAGUCAAAAGUCAGAUGCU